AUUGAACGCUGGCGGCAUGCCUUACACAUGCAAGUCGAACGGUAACGGGCCUUCGGGUGCCGACGAGUGGCGAACGGGUGAGUAAUACAUCGGAACGUGCCCGAUCGUGGGGGAUAACGAGGCGAAAGCUUUGCUAAUACCGCAUACGAUCUACGGAUGAAAGCAGGGGACCACAAGGCCUUGCGCGGACGGAGCGGCCGAUGGCAGAUUAGGUAGUUGGUGGGAUAAAAGCUUACCAAGCCGACGAUCUGUAGCUGGUCUGAGAGGAUGAUCAGCCACACUGGGACUGAGACACGGCCCAGACUCCUACGGGAGGCAGCAGUGGGGAAUUUUGGACAAUGGGCGCAAGCCUGAUCCAGCCAUGCCGCGUGCAGGAUGAAGGCCUUCGGGUUGUAAACUGCUUUUGUACGGAACGAAAAGCCUUCUUUUAAUACAGGAGGGUCAUGACGGUACCGUAAGAAUAAGCACCGGCUAACUACGUG
rnacentral:rRNA from 1 species